rnacentral:sRNA from 1 species
ACAAGGUGUAAACCGUGCAGGGUUCGAACCUGCAGCAGGUCGAGUCGAGCGAGAGCGAGACAACGUUGCGUCAGCAACGGCCCGCAGGGCGAGGCGAAGCCGAAGUCAUCCUGCACGACCCACCA